rnacentral:lncRNA from 1 species
CUAAAUAUUUAAAAAAAAAAAAAAAAAAAAGAAAAGCAUUUUAUUGAGUAUAUUUAAGGUAUAUAACAUACACAUAGAUAGUAAAAGCAAAUUAACAUUUUCAUUUUAUAGAGCUUUUUGCUUUUGUAGCAAGAGCAUUUAAACUUAUUUGGCUCAGUCUGGUGGCCACGCCUGUAAUCCCAGCUACUUGGAGGUUGAGGCAGGAGGAUGGAUUGUAAGUUUAAAGGCAGCCUCAGCAACUUAGUGAGGCACUAAGCAACUCAUGAGACUGUCUCUAAAUAAAUACAAAAUAGGGCUGGUGAUGUGGCUCAGUGGUUGAGUGCCCCUGAGUUCAACCCCUGGUGCCAAAAAAAUAAAAUGUUCUUACGUGGCAUGAAUCCCAUGCACAGUAUGGUUGUUUUGCCUGUGGUCCUCAUGUCCUAUGCUAGCUCUCUAAACUGGUUCACUCUACAUAUCUGCCCCUUUGCAUAAACUUUUUUUUGGUGAUGUCUUGAGUUCAUCUUGUCCAAGUGAGAACUCCAAGGCCCAGGAGAAGGGCCUUCUCAGCCCAGUCUGCAGUGGGCACAGCGUUGAGGAUGCCCUGGGGCAGAGCCUGAGGGUCUGGAAGUGUGGCCAGCAGAAGGUGCUGCAAUAAGUACCUGAGAAGGGUAUCCAUGCCUGGAAAACAUCAAGAGACAAGACCAGGGCCAGGGAGGGGACCCUAGGAACAAGGCAACAGUGGCUCCAAGAUUCAUUUCUGUCUCCCAAUGAAGUAACCAUUGCCAGGAACCUUUGAAGUCAUCCAUCUGACCCUGCUGCAGAAAGCUGUGGCCAUUCAUGGUGGCAGAUCCCGCGUCAGUACUGCAGCCAUAUAGCACACCUGCUGGCACAGCUCCGAGGCUGCAUGGCCAUUACUCUUUGGUUCUCCAACUGUCUGGCGCUACAUGAUAAAAUUUCCAUGUUAGCCAGGUGGAGUGACUUGGGAGGCCAAAGCAGGAGAUCACAAGUCUGAGGCCAGCCUUAGCAAAUUAGCAAGGCCCUAAGCAACUUCGUGAGACCGCCCCCCCCCAAAAAAAAAGCCAGAAGUGGUGACACACCUGUCAUCCCAGCAGCUCCAGCUCGGGAGACUGGGGUAGGAGGAUUGCGAGUUCAAAGCCAGCCUCAGAAACUUAGUGAGGCCCCAAGCAACUCAAUGAGACCCUGUCUCUAAAUAAAAUACAAAAUAGGCUGGGGGUGUGGCUCAAUGGUAGCGUGCUCGCCUGGCAUGCACAGGGCGCUGGGUUCAAUCCUCAGUACCACAUGAAAAUAAAUAAAGAUGUUGUGUCCAC